UCUACGGGAGGCAGCAGUGGGGAAUCUGGACAAUGCAGCAAGUUGAUCCAGCACAGCCGCGCAAUCAUGAUGCAGCCAUGCCGCGUGAGCGAUGAAUCAGUAGGGAUGUAAAGCUGGCUCGUCCCGACGAAAUGACAGUACUCAAGAAUAAGCACAGCUACUCCG
rnacentral:rRNA from 1 species